rnacentral:rRNA from 1 species
UACGAAAGGGGCUAGCGUUGUUCGGAAUUACUGGGCGUAAAGCGCACGUAGGCGGCCUUGUAAGUUGGGGGUGAAAUCCCGGAGCUCAACUCCGGAACUGCCUUCAAAACUACAAAGCUGGAGGAUGUGAGAGGAUAGUGGAAUUCCGAGUGUAGAGGUGAAAUUCGUAGAUAUUCGGAAGAACACCGGUGGCGAAGGCGACUGUCUGGCACAUUUCUGACGCUGAGGUGCGAAAGCGUGGGGAGCAAACAGG